AUUUCUCAUAGACUCAACCUACAAAACAGCAGAUAUGUAUGGAUUUGUUAAUUAUGCUUUGGAACUGCUGGUGCUAAAGCAUUUUGGAGAGGAAAUAUGGGAAAAAAUAAA